GAGCUUCCAUGUGUUGGUGAAGGA
rnacentral:siRNA from 1 species